rnacentral:lncRNA from 1 species
UAUUACUUAAACACUAAAGUCUGUGAGUCAACUUGCAUUCUCAGACACACAUGUGACUUGUGUGAAAUUUCUCUUGUGUUUCUGAAUUCAAACUAUACCUAAAUUGUAUAAUUGUCAAGCGCAGUGAAAUCCGUCCUAAGCAAACCAUGUGCUUAGCGGAGGUUUAAGGAAAACCUGAGCAAAAUUCUAGGUGUAUUGGGAGGGGUCUCUUUGCAGAGUGGGCACCUCCGGGCCGGGGUGUCUGCGGGGGCUUCGCUGUGUUUGUGAAGCGCGGGUUGGUGAGGCGGCUCGAGGCACCGGCACCGCACGUUCCUGAGCCGCGUUCCUUGGCUAAACGAGCAGCAAACGCUGGACACCUGGAGUCCUCAACGGGGUCCAACUCACUCCAGGAUUUGGCAAAACAGGUUUUUAUAACCGUAAGGUGGCGCAGGUUGCGUACCUGACUCUGCGGCUUCUUUUACUGCCCCAAAAUCUCUCUGCCGAUCUUUGAUUUUUUUAUGUUAUUUUAAAUACAACUCGUUAACCUUUCCCUUGCUGCGUCUGAGGAAAGCAAAGCAGUUACCGAUUCCUUGUUCUACGGAUACUAACACGGGUUUCAGUGUUUGUUUGUUGGUUUUUUUAAUUGUUGUUUUAUGUGAUGUGAAUACCCUCUCCUGUCAAUAUUUGUACGAUGGUGCUAAUAUAUUUGGUAACAAUCCUUUAUUGGGAAGGGAUUUGAAAAAACUGUGACUUAAACUGAAUUUUUCUUCCUUUUAAUUUUCAUAUUUAAGACAAAAAGCCACAGCCAUUUUUACAAAAAAAAAAAAAGGCAUCUGCUUUGGCCCCUGGGAAAAUGUUGGGGCGGGAAUCAAAAUUAAAACAAAUGGGGUUUUUACAUCAUUUCUGUAUGUAUUUGAUAUAUAGAUCAAUAUCUGUACAAAUUUAAUCUUUUAUUUUCUUGGUAAUUUGUGUGGUCAAUGAGAGAGUUAUUUAAAGCUUUCUCAUGCAAUGUACAUAACUACGUGAAAAGAAAACCGCUUUUGGAGAAGUUAAUGUUACUUUCAUUUUUACGAGACUGCAGAUUUUCAGCAUGGAUGUGAAAAGCAUUAAAAUUAUAACUUUGUGUACAAGAUGAAAAUAAUUCACUAAAUCUGCCUUUUUUUACACAAAAUAAAAAAAGAUAAAAAGUC